AGGAGGGCGGAGGCUGAGGCGCGUCGCGGUGGCUGCAGCUCCCCUAUAAAGCCCGGAGCCCGGUCUCUCCUCAAGCCCGGCGACAGCAGCAGCGGGACCAGGAGCGGACUGGACAUGGGGACGGGGCUGGCGGCGCGGUUCGGGCUGGGGCUCCUGCUCCUGGCGCUUCUCUUUCCCCCCCAGUUGGGAGUUUGACUUUCUUUAUGUGGGAUCCUAGAAAGGAAAACGCCAGUCCGAGAGUAGCAAUCCCCAGGGCAGACAAAGGGGCCACGGUUCCUACACUGAAAUCGACACAACUAAACUCCCAUUGCCAGAUGAUCGGGGCGAUCCUGAUCCAAAGCCCCUGGAAAUCAAUGGGAGACACGCUUCUGAUUUCGGUCAGAUCUGGGGAUGACUGAAAGGGCGGACUUUCCGAUGUCCCUGAAAGCACGUUAUUUAAAGCCCACUAGCCAGAUGGUUACUCGCAGAACGGUGAUCACGCCCGUAGAGUUUUACCUGGCAACAGCCUUGAAAGGACGUGUUGUCAAGCAUUCACCUAGCCCUGCAUUCCCCGAGUCCUCAUCGAGAUCGUGCAAUAAGGUCUCCGGCUGGGCAGUGCCAUCUCUCGAUGAGAGACCAUUGAGUCAUGAAGCCAGUAAAAUAAAAGCUCGUUUGAACAUGUUUCUGCUAUAAAUAAAGAAAGUUCUUAUCCUACUCCCUCUGAAUUGAGUAGGAGUCUUGCCCUUGAUUUCAAAGGGAGCAGGAUCAAACCCCAGACUUACUGUGACCUAAAUGGAACCAACCCAACACCCUCCAGCAAUAAUUCUACAGCAAGUUCCACUUCUAUACUAGCUGUCACAAAUUCACUGAACAAUACCACCAUGAGGGGACAUGGAAAUUCCCUGCAUUCAACC